rnacentral:rRNA from 1 species
CCUACUAGGGUAUCUAAUCCUGUUCGAUCCCCACGCUUUCGUGCCUCAGCGUCAGUCUGGCGCCGGUACGCUGCCUUCGCAAUCGGAGUUCUGCGCGAUAUCUAUGCAUUUCACCGCUACACCGCGCAUUCCGCGUACUUCUCGCCAACUCAAGUCUGCCAGUUUCAACGGCUCGACGGGGUUGAGCCCCGCAAUUUUACCGCUGACUUAACGGACCGCCUACGCACCCUUUAAACCCAAUAAAUCCGGAUAACGCGCGCAUCCUCCGUAUUACCGCGGCUGCUGGCACGGAGUUGGCCGAUGCUUUUUCUUCAGGUACUCUCGCUAAGACCACACGUGGACUCAAGUGCUCCCUGACAAAAGAAGUUUACAACCCGUAGGGCCGUCAUCCUGCACGCGACUUGGCUGGUUCAGGCUCUCGCCCAUUGACCAAUAUUCCUCACUGCUGCCACCCGUAGUC